rnacentral:lncRNA from 1 species
AUGGAGUAGAACCUGCACCGGAAACAUAAGGACCCUUCGAUCUUCCGGCUGAAACAACCAAGACAAACCAUAGUGGCACUCCUUUCAUAUAGUAAACAUGUUCUUUUUAACAAAUAUAGGAUAACGUUAGUUGCUACAUAACUUACGAUUAAGUCUAGCCACAACUUCUUUUCUUCUUCCUUCUAAUUUCUCCUUGGUGUCAUCAAGGCUCUCGUAUUGUGGUGCAUAUGAAACUUGAAUCCGGUUUCCAAUAAAAAAUUGAUUCAUCCAACUUCCUUUUGGCAAACCUACAUAAUAGAGGCUUUCAUUACACAAGAGGCUUGCUUUGCAGAUAAGUUUAAUCAACUAAUAAGAGUAUUCGCGAUUUGUGAAUGUAUAUAGAACAAUAGGCGUAACAUGAAUUUCUUGAAAAGGGGCAAAACGUGUACAUAUAUAACAUAUUCUCAUGUCAUAUGAAAGAAAAUGAAUUGAAUUGUUUAAACUACCUAGCGUUGUGGACUUGAUGAAACUUGAUCCAAUAAACAUCAGUAUAUGGUUCACAAUCUUCAUCAUCCAACGGUACAAAUCUAAAAAAGAGAAACACAAAAUUAAACUGAGCUCAGAAAAUCAAUAAACAAAACAUAUCAUGAUAAAAAAAAAAAAAAAAAAAAAAGACGUAAACACAAAAUGAUAUUAUGCAAAUGAAGAUGGACCUAAGGUUCGGCCAUACAAACCACAAACAGGAAAAUGACUCAUAGUAAGCACAAACAUUAAGAACCAUCCCAAUACAAACAAUCGGAGUACAAAACCGAACUACAAAUGUCCCCGGACAAAUCAGUUGGGGACCACCGAUGUGACAUUCGGAUGGGAUCAGAAAAGGGUCCAAACCAGCAAAGGUCAACAAUGUAAAUUAAUACCUAUAUUUUUCCUACAAGGUAGAAUUUGACUUAAUCCCAUCAGUCUAAUACUUAAUUUCGCUUUCUACAAAUCACCGAUUCUCCCGCCAGAUGGUGGUCACAGAGAGACCUCCUGUGGCGAGUCUAGCGGUUCUGUUUUGCAAACACCUUUGA